GCAGCCAGCGCCAGCCGCUCCGCCGGCGGCGACUCCAGGUCCAGAUGCAGCACAUACCGAUUAGCCGGAUGAUACAGGGCGCGCAACGUCCGCUGGAUACUUCCACCGUCUCCGGCGGAGCCAGAGAUCAGGUACGCGAGGCGGGGAACCGCCGCCACUACCGCCGCCGGCGGAGGCAGGCGGAGCUUCGAUUCGACGAAGAGACUGUUGUCCGGGUUCGAUGAGAUCUGCGAGAAGGAGAGGAGGAGGAGCGUGUGGGCGGAUGCGGCGGA
rnacentral:misc_RNA from 1 species